GCCAGCCGCUCCGCCCGAAUAGCCACACAAACACACCCGUCAACGACAAACAAACCAUUUGAAACCACAAGUAGAGGCGAUCGAACCUGUCUGCUCCCGGCGCCAUAGCAUAAAAGUACCGCAAGGGAACAAUGAAAUAAUAAUGAAACCAAAGCACCAAAAAGCAUAGCUUACCCCUAGUACCUCUUGCAUCAUGGUCUAGCAAGCCACAAACAGGUAUAACGCACUUAAAAUCUGCCUUCCCGAAAACAUGCGAGCUAUUUUAAAGCAGCAUAAUGUGCGCACCCGUUUCUGUAGCAAAAGAAUGGGACGACUUUAAAAUAGAGGUGAAAUGCCUACCGAGCACGUAGAUAGCUGGUUGCUCAGCCCUAAACGAAUCUCAGUUCGACUUCAAAUUAUACACAACACACCAUUGUACAAACAACAUUUGAAGGCUACUCAACUGGGGUACAGCCCAGUUGAGUACGGAUACAGCCCGCACCGUGAGACCCACCAACAGGAUACAAUAAUUUUGAGUAAGCCUUGAAGCCGCUACCUAACACCACUGCGUCAAAGCAACCGACCAAACCAAAUUCCACCCCCCCCCUGCCUCUCCGGACACAAAACUGAGCCAAUCCACGCACACGUGGAAGAGAUUAUGCUAGAACUAGUAACACGGCACCCGCCUCACCAUGCACACCCUUAGCCACAAAGCUUACCUAGACACAAAAUUGUAAAAUAAACACCCGCCCUGCCUACGCCAAACUAUUAUUAUAACACUAUUAACCCAACACCGGCGUGCACAAAUGAAAGAUAAAAUACCAUAAAAGGAACUCGACAACCACCAGCCCCAACUGUUUAUCAAAAACAUAGCCUUUAGCAAUUGACAGUAUUAAAGGUGCCGCCUGCCCAGUGACACCCGUUAAACGGCCGCGGUAUCCUAACCGUGCAAAGGUAGCGCAAUCACUUGUUCUUUAAAUAAGGACCUGUAUGAAUGGCCACAUGAGGGCAGAUUUGUCUCUUAUGGUAAAUCAAUGAACCUGAUCUCCCGGUACAAAAGCCGGGACACGCACACAAGACGAGAAGACCCCGCGGAGCUUUAAACUCGCCGACUACCAUAACGCUUAGCACGACAGUUUUUGGUUGGGGCAACCUUGGAGAACAACAAAACCUCCAAUUCACCAAACAGCUGCGGCCAACACGCCAAAGCAUCAACCACAUGACCCAAUAUAAUUGAUUAACGAACCAAGUUACCCCGGGGAUAACAGCGCAAUCUUCUUCAAGAGUCCCUAUCGACAAGAAGGUUUACGACCUCGAUGUUGGAUCAGGAUACCCAAAUGGUGCAGCAGCCAUUAAAGGUUCGUUUGUUCAACGAUUAACAAUCCUACGUGAUCUGAGUUCAGACCGGAGCAAUCCAGGUCGGUUUCUAUCUAUGAAGCACUACCCCCCCUGUACGAAAGGACCGGGAGGAGUGGGCCACUAGCCAUGCUACGCCCAAAAAUCAACGGCUGAACACAACUAAAGCCAAACACUAUGCCCCCCAUUAAGCUGGAAACAACCGCAAU
rnacentral:rRNA from 1 species